UCAAAUUCAUAAACUGCUCACAAUCGAACCUAUGAUUAUUGUAUUGGGAUAACUGGCUAUGGGCGUUGUCCCUGUAUUGGAUUCACUAUAACAAGAAAAAAAGAUAUCGACAAAGAUUCGAUGCUGUAAUAAUGAUGGAUGCUCUCACGGUUCUGAUUGUUUUUCUAUUGGAUUAUCUAAGAGCAAGUCAUGGGCUGAUUACAGAAAGAGAAGUCCUCGAUCAGCUGUUCAAUGCUUCUAAUUAUGACCCAAGCAUUGGACCAUAUACAAUUACAGGCGAACCAACGGUCGUGAGUAUAGAUUUUGAUAUCUUGGCACUGGGACCCGUCAACGCUUUAUCUAUGGAAUACAGCAUGAGUCUAUACUUUCGGCAGUCGUGGCUGGAUCCUAGAUUAAAACAAGAUAUUAUCCCACAUCCUAUACAGACGAAUUAUAGACGUCUAGAUUCAUUCUGGGUACCAGACCUCUUCUUUCCUGAUGCCAAAACUGAACAUCAACAUGAUAUAACUAUACCUAACAUGUAUAUUAGAAUUCACCCUGAUGGAACACUCAU